rnacentral:rRNA from 1 species
AACGAACGCUGGCGGCAGGCUUAACACAUGCAAGUCGAACGAUGUAGCAAUACAUAGUGGCGCACGGGUGAGUAACGCGUGGGAAUAUACCUUAUAGUGGGGAAUAACUUUGGGAAACUAAAGCUAAUACCGCAUUCGCCCGAGAGGGGAAAGAUUUAUCGCUAUAAGAUUAGCCCGCGUGAGAUUAGGUAGUUGGUGGGGUAAUGGCCUACCAAGCCUACGAUCUCUAGCUGGUCUGAGAGGAUGAUCAGCCACACUGGAACUGAGACACGGUCCAGACUCCUACGGGAGGCAGCAGUGGGGAAUAUUGGGCAAUGGAGGAAACUCUGACCCAGCCAUGCCGCGUGAAUGAUGAAGGCCUUAGGGUUGUAAAGUUCUUUCACCGAUGAAGAUAAUGACGGUAGUCGGAGAAGAAGCCCGGCUAACUUCGUGCCAGCAGCCGCGGUAAU